AGAGGCGGCGUGCCUAACACAUGCAAGUCGAACGAUGAAACCGCCCUCGGGCGGACAUGAAGUGGCGAACGGGUGAGUAACACGUGACCAACCUGCCCCUUGCUCCGGGACAACCUUGGGAAACCGAGGCUAAUACCGGAUACUCCUCGCCCCCCUCCUGGGGGGCCCGGGAAAGCCCAGACGGCAAGGGAUGGGGUCGCGGCCCAUUAGGUAGUAGGCGGGGUAACGGCCCACCUAGCCCGCGAUGGGUAGCCGGGUUGAGAGACCGACCGGCCACAUUGGGACUGAGAUACGGCCCAGACUCCUACGGGAGGCAGCAGUGGGGAAUUUUGCGCAAUGGGGGNAACCCUGACGCAGCAACGCCGCGUGCGGGACGACGGCCUUCGGGUUGUAAACCGCUUUCAGCAGGGAAGAAAUUCGACGGUACCUGCAGAAGAAGCUCCGGCUAACUACGUGCCAGCAGCCGCGGUAAUACGUAGGGAGCGAGCGUUAUCCGGAAUCAUUGGGCGUAAAGAGCGCGUAGGCGGCCUCUCAAGCGGGAUCUCUAAUCCGAGGGCUCAACCCCCGGCCGGAUCCCGAACUGGGAGGCUCGAGUUCGGUAGAGGCAGGCGGAAUUCCCGGUGUAGCGGUGGAAUGCGCAGAUAUCGGGAAGAACACCGAUGGCGAAGGCAGCCUGCUGGGCCGCAACUGACGCUGAGGCGCGAAAGCUAGGGGAGCGAACAGGAUUAGAUACCCUGGUAGUCCUAGCCGUAAACGAUGGAUACUAGGUGUGGGGGGCUCCGCCCUCCGUGCCGCAGCCAACGCAUUAAGUAUCCCGCCUGGGGAGUACGGCCGCAAGGCUAAAACUCAAAGGAAUUGAC
rnacentral:rRNA from 1 species